GUUGAAGUGGAAUUCCUUCUCCAGCUCCAGGGUCUGGUAGCGGGUGUACGUCUGCCGACCCCGCUUCCUAUCUGGACCUGAAAGCAGGCAAAGAAGUUAGCUGGGAAACCGAAGACGGGCGCGUAGAUGGAAACUUCGCCACCGCCAAGUCGGACUUGCACAGCAGCCGAACCUUGCACCAGAUCUGACUUCCUAAUGAACCAGAGUCCUGGGCUGCUCGAUAUUCCGUAUAUUUCGGGGGAAGAAAACACAUCUUGCACAUUAAAAAAAAGUCUCUGCAGUAAACUGUAACCAUGUGGCUAUCAUAAAAAAUGUUGAAAUGA